rnacentral:rRNA from 1 species
UGAGUUUGAUUAUGGCUCAGAUUGAACGCUGGCGGCAGGCCUAACACAUGCAAGUCGAGCGGUAACAGGACUAGCUUGCUAGUUGCUGACGAGCGGCGGACGGGUGCGUAACACGUAGGAAUCUGCCCGGUAGUGGGGGAUAGCCCGGAGAAAUCCGGAUUAAUACCGCAUACGCCUUACGAGGGAAAGGAGGGGACUCUUCGGAGCCUUUCGCUAUCGGAUGAGCCUGCGUCGGAUUAGCUAGUUGGUGGGGUAAAGGCCUACCAAGGCGACGAUCCGUAGCUGGUCUGAGAGGAUGAUCAGCCACACUGGGACUGAGACACGGCCCAGACUCCUACGGGAGGCAGCAGUGGGGAAUAUUGCACAAUGGGGGAAACCCUGAUGCAGCCAUGCCGCGUGUGUGAAGAAGGCUCUAGGGUUGUAAAGCACUUUCAGCGAGGAGGAAAGGUUGCUGGUUAAUACCCAGCGGCUGUGACGUUACUCGCAGAAGAAGCACCGGCUAACUCCGUGCCAGCAGCCGCGGUAAUACGGAGGGUGCGAGCGUUAAUCGGAAUUACUGGGCGUAAAGCGUGCGUAGGCG